UCGAGAAUCUUCCGCAAUGGGCGAAAGCCUGACGGAGCGACGCCGCGUGCGGGAUGAAGGCCUUCGGGUUGUAAACCGCUGUCAGUGGGGAGGAAAUCUAUAGGGGUCAUCCCCUAUAGUUGACCUAUCUUCAGAGGAAGGACGGGCUAAGUUCGUGCCAGCAGCCGCGGUAAGACGAACCGUCCAAACGUUAUUCGGAAUCACUGGGCUUAAAGGGUGCGUAGGCGGCUUGGCAAGUUGGGUGUGAAAUCCCUCGGCUCAACCGGGGAACUGCGCUCAAAACUGCCAGGCUAGAGGGAGAUAGAGGUGAGCGGAACUAAUGGUGGAGCGGUGAAAUGCGUUGAUAUCAUUAGGAACACCUGUGGCGAAAGCGGCUCACUGGAUCUUUUCUGACGCUGAGGCACGAAAGCUAGGGUAGCGAACGGG
rnacentral:rRNA from 1 species